UACGGAGGGAGCAAGCGUUACUCGGAAUUAUUGGGCGUAAAGGGCGCGUAGGCGAUUUAACAAGUCUUGUGUGAAAGCCCCGGGCUUAACUCGGGAAGUGCACAAGAAACUGUCGAAUUGAGUUCCGGAGAGGAAGGCAGAAUUCCCGGUGUAGCGGUGAAAUGCGUAGAUAUCGGGAGGAAUACCAGUGGCGAAGGCAGCUCGCUGGAACGGUACUGACGCUGAGGCGCGAAAGCGUGGGGAGCGAACAGG
rnacentral:rRNA from 1 species